rnacentral:rRNA from 1 species
AAUAUUGGACAAUGGGGCAACACUUAUCCAGCCAUGCCGCGUGUGUGAAGAAGGGUUUCGGAUUGUUAAGAAAUUUUAUUUGGGAGGAAGGGCCUUCUGUCAAUACCCUGAAGUUUUGACGUUCCCAACAGAAUAAGCACCGGCUCACUCUGUGUUAGCAGCCGCGGUAAUACAUAGGGUGCAAGCGUUAAUCGGAAUUACUGGGCGUAAACCGCGCGUAGGUGGUUCAGUAAGAUGGGUGUGAAAUCCCCGGGCUUAACCUGGGAACUGCUUUCAUAACUGCUGAGCUAGAGUACGGUAGAGGGUAGUGGAAUUUCCUGUGUAGCGGUGAAAUGCGUAGAUAUAGGAAGGAACACCAGUGGCGAAGGCGACCACCUGGGCUAAUACUGACACUGAGGUGCGAAAGCGUGGGGAGCAAAC